ACAGCUGAAAAAUGUAAUAACACUUUUAGAUUUGAACAAAAUUGCAGUGAAUUCCAUCUAAUACAAUAACUGUUUAGGCAUCAUGGUAUGCCAGAGACUGAAGCGAUUCUUGCCUGUUUACUUGCUUUUGCCUGGCUCUGGCGAUUAGCGAGUACUGCCUAUGCCGCAUAUUCCAUCUCUAAUACUUUAGGACCUGAUUGCCUGGGGGUGGGAUUCAAGUACAUCAUUGCAGUCUUACAGAUUGUAAUCAGCUUAGUUUUGAAUGUGAUACCCUUAACAAAAUUUCCUCGGAUCAGUCUGGCGAAUCGUAUAAUAAGUCUACCAUCACAAGCCUUCACUUUGUACUACGCGAAUGCGUAUAUAGCACCCUUUAUAGAUAGCAAACGGGUGACGAUAUUAAUAUAUGUGAUUACAUGUAUGUGUCUUAUGGAAACUGUAUAUAAAAUCUACGUGGACUGGUCAAGAAUUGAGUAGAACUCCAAGAAAUUUUUGAAUUACCUUGGAAUUGCCAGCGAGGCCACACCCCCAAUUUGAUGGAUUUUAGUUAUAAUAUAUAGAAAAUACCAUUUUUAAUAUUCAGUUAUUACACCCUAAAUAAACUUAUUUUAACUAA